UACGGAGGAUGCAAGCGUUAUCCGGAAUGAUUGGGCGUAAAGCGUCCGCAGGUGGCAAUGUAAGCCUGCUGUUAAAGAGUCUAGCUCAACUAGAUAAAAGCAGUGGAAACUACAUAGCUAGAGUACGUUCGGGGCAGAGGGAAUUCCUGGUGUAGCGGUGAAAUGCGUAGAGAUCAGGAAGAACACCGGUGGCGAAGGCGCUCUGCUAGGCCGUAACUGACACUGAGGGACGAAAGCUAGGGGAGCGAAUGGG
rnacentral:rRNA from 1 species